CAAGGAUUGUACAAUUGUUCUU
rnacentral:siRNA from 1 species